ACCCGCUGAACUUAAGCAUAUCAAUAAGCGGAGGAAAAGAAACCAACAGGGAUUGCCCUAGUAACGGCGAGUGAAGCGGCAACAGCUCAAAUUUGAAGUCUGGCCCCGGCCCGAGUUGUAAUUUGCAGAGGAAGCUUCUGGCACGGCACCUUCCGAGUCCCCUGGAAUGGGGCGCCAUAGAGGGUGAGAGCCCCGUAUGGUCGGCUGCCUAGCCUGUGUGAAGCUCCUUCGACGAGUCGAGUAGUUUGGGAAUGCUGCUCAAAAUGGGAGGUAAAUUCCUUCUAAAGCUAAAUAUUGGCCAGAGACCGAUAGCGCACAAGUAGAGUGAUCGAAAGAUGAAAAGCACUUUGAAAAGAGGGUUAAACAGCACGUGAAAUUGUUGAAAGGGAAGCGCUUGUGACCAGACUUGCGCCGGGCUGAUCAUCCGGUGUUCUCACCGGUGCACUCUGCCCGGCUCAGGCCAGCAUCGGUUCUAGCGGGGGGAUAAAGGCCCCGGGAAUGUAGCUCCCUCGGGAGUGUUAUAGCCCGGGGCGUAAUGCCCCCGCCGGGACCGAGGACCGCGCUUCGGCAAGGAUGCUGGCGUAAUGGUCAU
rnacentral:rRNA from 1 species